UCGUAAAAGUUCGGAUUUUAACCGACAGAUAGUGACACUCUCAAAGAUGAAUAAGUAAAUUAAAAUGUCACUGUGUCUCUUUAAAAAAGAAGUAAAGAAAGGAAAGAAAAAAGAAAAAUAAUGGAAACUUAUUAGAGAGCGCAUAGAAGCGUCGUACGUUUGAACGUAUAUAGAAAAACAACAUUCUUACUCUCUUCUUAUGGAACACGUAACAGGAACAAGUUUGGAAGUCAUUGAUCUUAAUACUGGUGCAACGCUAGGACCCAAAGCUGCAAUAGCCGCUCCUAAAGAAAUAGUUAUGAAAAAGAGAUAGCGAAAGAAACGUCUUCCCGCAUGAAACUAACGUGUGAAAUGAUCGUCGGUGCCGAUCGUCACUUGUCGAUAGGUCUCGUUACUCUUCGGGACCCAUCGGCCUUGUUCGGCGAUACGAAUGCUCACGUUGACUCCAGUCAGUCGACGCCAUGUUUGUUCGUGAGUCCCGCUACCGACAUGACACGUGUGAUUACGUUCUCUCUUAAUUACAGGUAGAAACACGUCACCAAUGUCGUUGUAUUGUCCCAACUACGAGUUCGUUGAUUACGUUGAUACGAAUUCUAGGCGUAGAUUCGUAGCAUAGGUCAGAUUCACGACACUAUUCGCAUAGUAAUCGCCUAGGGGUAAUCAUAACUAUCGAAGAGAAGAAGAGAAUCCAUCGCAAUUCGUGACGACAGAGAAGGAAGAAGAAAAGGAGGUGGUGAAGAAGGAGGAGGAGGAGAAAUAAGAAAGAAGAAAGAAGAAAGUUCGAAGACACGAAAAAAGUUUAGAAAAAUUUCAUCGGAGUUUUGUUCGAUAUAUGUAGGACAUAUUUACUCUGCUUUUAUAUAGGAGUCUCUCCCGUGGAAGGUUCCAAAGAUUGACCAAAGAGCAAAGAAGAAAUGAGGUCGACGAUGACGACGAUGACGACGACGAGAAAUUCCUUGUUGAAUCUCACAAGAGAGAAAAGGAGACCAAUGUAAAAAGGUAGAGGAGAAGUAUACAGGGUAGUCGUGACGGGGUUAGGUCGCAGGAAAGAGUAGUUUUCUCCCUACUUUCGCCAUUAGUUUUUCCCUCGAUAGACCUUGUACGCGAAUGGAAUAACCGAGUCGGUGACUGCUACUGCUGUUGCUCUUGCUAUUGCUAUUGCUGUUGCUAUAGCCUUUGGUUAAACACACACACAUACACACACACUUUUGUAAACGAUAAUUAAAUUGGAUGAGGACUCUUGAUGGCCACUUUCUCUUCUUGGUAUAUAGAAAAGUUUGCGCAUUAAAAACUCACGUGUGCGAGAAUAAAAAUUGUCCAUCUUUUUACUUCUUU